rnacentral:rRNA from 1 species
GACGAACGCUGGCGGCGUGCUUAACACAUGCAAGUCGAACGCUGAAGCUCAGCUUGCUGGGUGGAUGAGUGGCGAACGGGUGAGUAACACGUGAGUAACCUGCCCUCUUCUUUGGGAUAACGCCCGGAAACGGGUGCUAAUACUGGAUAUUCACUGAUUCUCGCAUGGGGGUUGGUGGAAAGGUUUUUUCUGGUGGGGGAUGGGCUCGCGGCCUAUCAGCUUGUUGGUGGGGUGAUGGCCUACCAAGGCUUUGACGGGUAGCCGGCCUGGGAGGGUGACCGGUGAAAUUGGGAAUGGGAUACGGCCCAGACUCCUGCGGGAGGCAGCAGUGGGGAAUAUUGCACGAUGGGCGAAAGCCUGAUGCAGCGACGCCGCGUGAGGGAUGGAGGCCUGCGGGUUGUAAACCUCUUUCGCUCAUGGUCAAGCCGCAGCUUUGGGUUGUGGUGAGGGUAGUGGGUAAAGAAGCGCCGGCUAACUACGUG